UCGGGAAUAUUGCGCAAUGGAGGAAACUCUGACGCAGUGACGCCGCGUGCAGGAAGAAGGUUUUCGGAUUGUAAACUGCUUUAGACAGGGAAGAAAAAGACAGUACCUGUAGAAUAAGCUCCGGCUAACUACGUGCCAGCAGCCGCGGUAAUACGUAGGGAGCAAGCGCUAUCCGGAUUUAUUGGGUGUAAAGGGUGCGUAGACGGGAAGACAAGUUAGUUGUGAAAUCCCUCGGCUUAACUGAGGAACUGCAACUAAACUAUCAUUCUUGAGUGCUGGAGAGGAAAGUGGAAUUCCUAGUGUAGCGGUGAAAUGCGUAGAUAUUAGGAGGAACACCAGUGGCGAAGGCGACUUUCUGGACAGUAACUGACGUUGAGGCACGAAAGUGUGGGGAGCAAACAGGAUUAGAUACC
rnacentral:rRNA from 1 species